UCCCUCUCAGGGUCGCACCUGGAGAGUUUCCAGUCCUCUACCAGUCUCGGGUAUGGGAGGGAGAUUCAAGCAGAGGCCUGUCCAUUCCAUUCCUAGCUUGGGCAGUAGCUACCAAGUGGAAGGCAAUCUCCUACAAGU
rnacentral:snoRNA from 1 species